CCCAAAGUCCGGCACCACCUGGCUCAAAGCCCUCGCCUACGCCAUCAUGACACGAGCACAAUACCCCUUCCAUCACCACCCUCUCCUUCGCCAAAAUCCUCACGAGUGCGUCCCUAUGGUGGACAGAACCUACUCCAGAGGCCAAGCCCCAGAAAUAGAAGCCAUGCCAUCCCCUCGUAUUCUCAACACUCACUUGCCUUGCUCUCUCCUACCACACACCAUCAAGAGCUUAGAUUGUAAGGUCAUAUAUGUCUGCCGGGACCCGAAGGAUGUGUUGGUCUCCCUGUGGUACUUCAAUAAUGGGUUGAGGCUGCAAUCUAUGGAGCCAAUUCCAUUUACCAAGGCCUUUGAGAUGUUCUGUGAGGGCAAUUGCCCCUAUGGGCCGAUAUGGGAGCAUGUUCUCGAGUACUGGGAGGAAAGCCAGAGGAGGCCAGAGAAGGUGCUCUUCUUGAAGUACGAGGAGAUGCUAGAGGAGCCUCUGCGGAUUGUGAAGAGGUUGGCCGAGUUCAUGGGAUAUCCCUUCUCUCCAGAGGAAGAGAAGGAAGGGGUGGUGGAGGAGGUCAUAGAGCUGUGCAGCUUUGACAAGCUGACGAGCUUGGAGGUCAACAAGACGGGUAAAGUACUGCUUCCCAGUAUCCCCCUAACCAAUGAUUCAUUCUUCAGGAAAGGAGGGGCAGGGGAUUGGAGGAAUCAUAUGAGUUCGGAGAUGGCGCGGAAGUUGGACCGCAUCACCGAGCAAAAGCUUGAGGGGUCCGGUCUGACCCUCGGUGGUGUAGCUGUGAAAGCAUCGGCGGCCAUCAAUGGUGAUGACCAAGCUCUAUUCUAGUCGCAGUUGUUUGUGAUCUUCUUUUUAUUUUUCGAAUGUUUAGAGUGAGAUUACAUAAGAAGUUGCUGCAAUCCGGUAACCCCCGCAUGGCGUCUCUGUCUCUGCUCUUGCCGUCAACCUUUGUUGACCCCUGGGAGCGUCAAUAAGGUGUAGCUGCGAAAGAUGUCUGUUACUUCUACCAUCGACAUGUCUUCGUGAUGUUUUUGUCUCACGCUAUUAAUGCCACAUUUAUAUGUUUUAUUUAGAAUAAUUGCUAAAAUAUAAAUAAUAGUGUGUCAUAUUGUAGUGAAGGGGCUGAAAUGGGCCGAAUGCAAUUCGAGGCGACUCUGAUUCGCCUUUGUAUUUGAAAGAGUGAAAAAAUAAUUAUUGAAAUAAAUCAUAGAAAUUUCACUAAAUAAUGAAGAAGUUUCUAGUCUGGGAUAUGAAGCCCAAGUGUUGUUUGUCCAACAUUACCGGUCCUUUAUUUAUACCAGCAUUUCUGUUUCCACUAUGAAUUAUGAAAGCAUUAAAAAUCUUGAUUGUAGAAAUCUCUUUAUCUAUUAACCAGAUGGGAAGGAGAAAACUCUAUGAUUUCCAACAUCCAGAAGAAAUGCUUGAAAAAUCAUUGCAAAUUGGUGCAUGCUACCUCAUAAAUUUCAACAUAACUAGAUUCUUCUGCCCUAGUUCUAUUGUAGAAAAACAUAUCUUUUAAGAAUUCUACCGCAAUAAAAAUUUCUAAUUUAUCUUUUUUAAUUAAAGGUUUCAUUUGUUCAAAACCUUUUUUAUUGGAUCCCCUGGCAAAUUAUUCUUUGCAGAAAAAUAUUGGAGUUGCAUUUGAUUUGGGUUUGAAUGCUUACUUAUAGUUUUAUUAGUGAAUGCUUAUCUAAAUAGUUGUUUUCAUGUUUCCUCUUAUUUAGCAUUUCUAAUUCUUGAACUAUAAUGUUUUAUUACACAAGCAUAUGCAGUGUAUCUAGUGUACAAAGAAAAUCUGAAAAUCUAGACAUCAUUGGAAUGGUUGAAUAUAAUAUCAUCUAGAAAAUCUCCUAGAUGGUCGACCUCUUCAUCUGCAUUCGGAAUUUAUUUUUCUUCACGAGAGAAAUCUUCUAGGAACUUUUAUAUGAGAUUUUAUUUAUAAAAAAUGUAAGUAUCUUACAUCAAGGAGAUAGGAUGGAAUGUGUUUUAUUUCAGAAAAAAAUGUACAAACACCUUUUCCACUUUUCUGAUUUAUAUUUACACUUUUCAUGAUUUUUUGUGCCUAGAAACACGCCAUGUGAGGUGCUACUAAUCCGAAGGAUACCAACCAUGGCUUCAAAUUAAAAAGGGUUUUUCCCUUCACCAUGCACAUGGGUUCCGUACCAUUACUUCCUGCAAAAAUAAUAGCAGGCAGUAGUUGAUGUUGUUGAUGGGGGACUAACAAAGAUGUAUUUUUUUCUCUUAUAAAGCCAACAAAGAAUGACGACAACAAAAAAAAUUAAAAAUAAAAACCUGAAACAGCUGUCCGGCACCACACAAGAGGCCUUGCCCAUGACUUAUUUAAUAGGAUUAAAUUGUGACCUCUAUCUGCUAGUUUAUCUAAUCCGUAGUGAUCUAAGGGCACUGCAUUUGGUAUGCCACAAUCCAAAGACUAAAAUUUUCUAACAUCUUCAGUAAAUAUGUUUCAUAUUCUGAUAACAUAUUUAGGUUAGUAGACUAGCCAGAAGAGGUUUGGGCCCAUUGACCCAUGCAUGCUUUGCACGGAUGGCGCAGAAGAAGACUCCGAAUAUAAGCCUUCUUCCUUUCCGAUGCCGACGGACUCCAGGAGUUCGAGGGCAAGUUGAGCACGACUAGAACCUUAGGUUCUCAAUGCAUAAAAAGGAUAUCCAGCCUCUUCCUCCUAUGGACUCCACCACAGAAAUUGCGAGUAAUCACUAUCGAUUGCCGAGCUUUUUGCCGAGUUUCUCCUUGGGGCCGGCUGGAAGGGGUUUGGGCUUGUUGACCCGUGCAUGCUUUUUGUGUGAUGGCGGAGAAGAAGACUCCGGUUAUAAGCCUUCUUUCCUCCCGACGCCGGCAGACUCCAGAAGAUCGAGGGCAAGUUGAACACGACUAAAACCCUAGGAUUUCAUCUUUAAAAAGGAUAUCCUCUUAGUCCUAUGGACUCCGCCACGGAAAUGGUGAGUAAUCACUAUUGAUUACCAAGCUUUUUCCCGAGUUUUUUCUUGGAUUGCCGCCGGAGAAGAUUGUUGGAUCACUCUUUUGGUCUUGCUGGACUUACGUAAAGGCUUAGAGAAUCUAAUUUCAACUACAAUAAUAAAAAUCUAAUUUCAACGAUAAUUAAGGUAGAAGAUAGAAUUUGAAUAGUAGAUGAGAUUUUAUAGGAGUUUUCCUAUUUUGAAUUAUUUUAUUAAUUUUUAUAAGUUAGUAUUGAAGUCAUAACUGCUGAAUCUAGCUCUGAUUGAAUCUAUAAUUUGAUGAUAUUCUCUUCUCCUUGUUGUCAAGCAUCUUUGAACAAGGGUGGAUCUAGAGACCAGGAUAUAUACUAUGAGAGCUGGACCCCUAGCCAUACCCAUGCUUGCUGGUACAGUGGAGUUUUGUGCUCAUCAUCAACAGCCUGAUGAAUUCGACCCCUCAUGCUCCAGAGGCAGAUCCAACACCUACCAAAAACCUACCAAACCAACACGCCAUGUGACUUCCCGUCUCUGUGCCCGUCAAUAAAUGGUGGUUCAGGAAACUCUUUUAGAAAGCGGCAGAGACAAAUCUUUUGCUACAAAGAUGAGCGGUUCAUAAAACAUUCGGAUAUUCUUUUGUUACAAGUGGCUAGAUCUCCAAGGAUGGAUACAGCUUACCUUCACAUCCAACGACCACUGCACAGAUCUCAAAGUGAUCCAUAUUCUAUCAUCCAUUUGUCUGCGUAGAUGUUGGAGAAAACUAUCACUGUUUCACACUUCUCGAGUAAUCAAAUAGUAUGUUUAGGUGGUUGACUCAUCACUUAGCAAAUAAAUCAACAACCCAAUGAUAAUAUCUCUUAAAACAAGGAAUUAGUGGACAAUUCUGAAUUUACCGGUAGUUUUUAAGAUAUUGUUUGUUAGUAUGAGAUAUUAACUAAAAUAUGCAAAUUUAUUUAAUAUAUUAUCGAAUAGAAUUGAGAUGGAAUCUAGACGGGUUUGGCUUGAACCCAGCUUGAAAGAGAUUUAGGUCUAUAAUCCUGACCCGUUCUAUCAAGCUAAAAGCACAUGACCUUACCUAAAGUCACGCCUACGGGCACAUUGACAUAUUUGCCGUGACCAUUAGUGAGCUUUAAGUUCCGUUCGUGGGCUUAAAAGGCUGCAUUUAUCUUACGCUACGGUGCUUUAAGUUCCGCUUCUAGUUAUUCUUUGGCUAUGGACCAUGCCAAAUCUUUUAGGAGCCAACGGAUUUGCAGCGGAAGGCCCCAACGAUGCCAUAAUCGAUCGAUCCAUUCUAUUUGAUUAAUUUUUAAAAAAAAAAAUCAUUAGAGACAAUAUUAGUUUUUCAUCAUAUUUUCAGAUUUUGUAGUCGAACAAUCUUAGUAUAUUUUAUUUUAUUUUCAAAUCAAGUUUCUCAUUCUCAAUCGAAUUUGUAAGGGUCGUCUAUAUAAGACAGCUCAGGGUUUAGUUUGCAAUGGAUCCUUUUGCUUGAUCAAUAUAACUUUCAUAGAGUUCUCUUCCACUUCUCUUCUUCUUAUUCCAUGCGCUUGUUCUCUCUCAACAGCUAGCACAUGGAUGAAGCUUGCGUCAUUAUCCAGAGAGGUGGAGAGGAUAGGACUUGCUUCAUGAAAUAGAAUUAUAUCCCCCCUUACUUAUCCCAAUUCAAUAUAAAAGACUAGCUAGUUUUCCAGCUAAAGAAUUGUGUUUGAUAGUAUAACAGCGGAAUAAAGGCCUUAUUCAUGAUUCUACCGCCUACCCAGUACUGUCUCAAAGACAAACUCUAAGAUUAAGUUUGUACCAUAAAAGUAAAAUAAAAUGCGUCCAUACAGUAGUAUUUAUCUCCCAGCUAGAAGUUGGAGAUGGAUGUCGUUGGGGUGUCCCUCCUGAUGAAACGAAGAGGUCAUUCAUACUUUGGGCUAGUUACAUGGUAUGGAGAAAGCCGCGAAGUAAAGCUAGCUUCAUUUUUUGGCGUCUUUCUUAUGGAAAGAAAAGAGUUGGGCCGGUUGAGAUUGGGAGCUCUGGAAAAGAAACCUUUUUCUCUUAGAAGAAAGCUGCUUCUCGUAGGAGAGACCUUGGAGAAGGAAAUCCUUAACGCCCCAUUGCUUUAGGUGGUGAGAUAAAGGUUUUUUUUUUGAAAAAAAAAGCUGGUAUGAUCUGGAACUGAUGAUAAGGUCCAUCCUCAAAUCCUAGUUUGUGGUUGUUCGCCAUCCCCAAAUCAGCACUCUAGAAGGGUUUUGAGAACCCUAUAUUGGGCGAGUCCACUCAAUCUCUUGUAUGUUGAAUGUAUCGUGUUUUGUGAGAAAAUUAUCAUGCAUCUUGAGAGGCGUUAUUUCUUAUGUCAACAACGUGGUAUCUAAUCGUACCGUGUCGCAUUUGGUGCCAAUUACGGAACUAAUAGCUUUUAAUAAUUAUUUUUUCAAAACUGCUAAAUUUAAUUAACAAAAUAUAAUUUAGUCUUUUUUUAGAAAAUUGGAAUGAUAUAUUCUAUCGUUGUUACUCGCUCGUGACUCCCUCUAGCAUCAUAACUCAAAUAUCUGGCAUCGGAGGGGAUCCAGGCCCAAGAAUGGAUCUCCAUUAUUGGGGGUAGGUGGAAGGGAAUUAAAGGCAAUUAUGAGUUCCUUGCGGUUAGGUUUCAAUCAGAGCCAACGGUGUGUCGGUGUCCACAUGUUCCUUGGCCCAUUUGCAAGCAGGCCGGCAGCACCAAAAUUUAUGACAUAGAGGUCUCCACCACCAAGUCCUAUAGAAUCUUUUGUGGGCUGCUCGAGGGAUUUGGCCGUCGUCCCAUUCGCUUAUAUAAUGCUUGGAUGCUGUACUAAUCGCUUUAGAAAAUAAAUAUAAUAUCUCGGGUGGUCCAUGGUUGUCCUCCUUACUUAGUGUCUCAAAGGCUUUGGGGAAAUUCUCAUAUUAAAUAUCACUCACUAGAUGCUACGUGAAGGUAAGUUUUAGGGAAUCAGUUUCCCAAGAUUACUACAGGCGUUGGCUUCAUCAUCGAAGAUGUUUAAAAGAAGGAAAGAAGACCAGAACUUUACUCAGAAAACCAAUUCCGAACCGAUGUAGUUUUUCAACAAUAUUUAGAAUUUAAACUCUGAAACUUGUACAAGCUAUUUGCGAAGGUGUGCCAACCCAUUUAGUUUUACUAACAAGGCUACAUUGACCAAAACGCUAACGCAAGAGUAAUCAUCUUUUUCUCAGAAUUUAGAGGAUGCAUGUCAUGACCUCCUGUUCAUGAGUAGAAGAGUAUGGCCAUUGAGUUACAGCACAGAUUACUGAAACAUAAAAAAUAAAAGCAGCAUAUGGACUUAAGAACAUGUUUAGUUAGAGAAAGUUGAACUAUGAGAUUGAGGUAGUUUUAAAGCUGAGAAUUCCUUGAUCACAGGAAGAAGGUUGCUUACCAUUAAUCGAGAUCGAGAUGACCAAUGGGAAUGGCAAAGUUUAUUAACUUCACAUAAGCUUCAAGCAACUAAAUAUUUUUUUUCUCAAAAACAUGUACCAUACAUUGCCAGGAAAAUUAAUGGGGUUGUCACUUGUCAAUUCUCCUUUCUCUCCUUUUUCUUUUUCUUUUUUCCUUUCCCUUCUCCACUCCCAAAAACAAGCAUCCAUUCCCUCCUUUUUCUUUUAUUUUUCUCUGCCAAUUGUUUGUUGAUUUAUCAUUACGUCUGAAGUCCGGACCAACCACUGGACCCGUGCAGUCAGGAAGCUAUAAUGUAGGCAAAUUUAGCUGUAUCCCAUUCCGACGACCGAAAUUAUUUCUUCUGCGAGUCAAAAGAUUCCUUUUUCUCAUUAUCCAAGUUAGAGGAUAAGAGAAAUAAUUAAAGAGUGCUUCUUAAGUUAGGAGCUAAAAAAGAGCUACUCUCUUUGCAGUUGUUUAGUUUGGAAGUGUCUCGUUUCUAUUUUGAUUUUAAAAUAAAAUAAAAUAUCUUAAUUUUUUAAAAUUUAAUUUUUAUCUUUUUAUAGUAUUCAAAUCUCAUUUUGAUUUAAAUUUCAGUCACGAACCAAAAGCUUCGAGAGAUAUAGCCAUUCUAAUUUCCAUUCCAAUCCAAAUUUUGAUUUUGAUUCCAAUUCUGAUUCCAAUUGCAAACCAAAUGUAUCUUAUAUAUCUUGCUUAAAUAUUUUGUCUUUUCACCACUUGCUGAAAAUGUCUUUAGCUUAGAGGUACAAAAUUAAGAGAGAAAAUAUAUAAAAACCUAGAACCUCACCAAAAAAAGGUUAUAUAAAUGGUAAUAUAAGAUUCCAUGACUCUUUAUAAGUAUCCGAAAUCUAUUAUAUAUAUAGUCGAUAUGAGAGCAAAUAUACACUCACGUGACUCUCACAUACUUUUUUUUUUGUUUAAGUCUUGGUAUCCUCGCCAAGCAAAGGUUCAAAUUUAUUUACAAAAACCACAAAUUUAAGCACAAACACCACAAUCUACUCAUGAUCAGCUCAAGUAGACCCCACGUUGCAGUGUCUCCUAGCCUAUAUGGGCUAUGAUCUGAGUUUGCUCUGAUAUCAUUUGUCACAAUUUAAAAACUCAUCGAAAAUUGCUAGUCUAAAGAUAUUAUUUGAAUUUUUUAAUCUUGUAUAAAUAUCUAAGAUUUAUCCAAUAUAUAGCCGAUGUAGUAUAAAAUGCACACACUUACAAAUACUCACAAAAUGAUUUGGAACAAAAAGAAUAGAAAUAAAUAAAAAAAAGAAAAAAAUAGAAGACCCAAGGUAGGUUAGAUAGCCCAAACAACAUCCUAAUAAGAGUUUGCAUGGAGCAACCCAGAAAGCCGAAGAAAAUGCUAAAACCUAAAUCCCAAUUUUAAUAAAACAAUCUAUUUUACCUUCAAAAAAAUUAAACAAUCUAGAUAACGGAUAAAGCUUAUCGAAUAUAAGCACUUAAAAUUGGGUUUAACUAAUUCAUAUAGUUAAUUUGUGACUGAUACUAAUCAUAUUUGUUUUAAGAAAUGAAGAUCCUAGUGCUGGAGAACGGACGAGGACAGAUCUUAACUCUUCAGCCAAAAUCUUGAGUAUAACACCAAGCACUUGAUAGCAGAUCAUAAUAUUAAAUUUAAGUAUUGCAAAAGGCAGCAAUACAUAGAGAUUAAGCCAGAAAUUUAUUAACCCAAGCACCCCAAGAUGAAGUGAUUACUGGGGGAACAAUUCCAACCAAGAUUGGAAGAGGUAAAGCACAUCAAAAUGCAAAUCACAUUCCAUUAGCUUCCACGCCCGCGCUCAUCCCGAAGGUCAGACCAGAUCCCUCUAGCUUCUGCGAGGUUACCGCGUCCAUCCUCCGAGCCAUCUCCUCGCUCAUGUGGUUCCUCCAAUCCCCUGCCUCUCCUUUCCUAAAGAAUGAAGUAGUCUGCAGCGGCAGCUUCGUGUUGAGCUUGUGCGUCAUGCUCCCGGCCAGUUUGCUCAGACUAUCAAAACUACAAAGCCUUAUAAUCCCCUCGACCACCCCUUCCUUCUCUUCCUCCGGCGAGAAAGGGCACCCCAUGAACUCCGCCAGCUUCUUCGCACUCCCCGCCGGCUCCUCCAGCAUCUCCUCGUACUUGAGGAACAGCACCUUCUCAGGCCUCCUCAAGCUCUCCUCCCAGAAACCAAGUGCGUGCUCCCAUAUCGAUCCGUAGGGGCUGACGCCGUCGCAAUACAAGUCGAAAGCUUUGCCGAAUGGAAUAGGCUCCACGGAGUCGGGGCUCAUCUUGUCGUUGAAGUGCCACCGGGAGAUGAACACGUCCUUGGGAUCCCGGCAAACGUACAAGAAUCGGCUGCCGGAUCCUUUCAUGGAAUUCGGGAGCAGAGGGUAUGGUAAGUGGCUGCCGAGCAACCUAGGGGAAGGCAUGGCCUCUAAUUUGGACGGCCUGCCGUCGGAGAAGAGUCUCUGGAUGAAGAGCACGCACUCGUGGGGGUUGGAGCGGAGGAGAGGGUGAUCGGCCAUGGAGUAGCGGGUUCGGUUCAUGAUGGCAAAGGCUAGCGCUUUGAGCCAGGUGGUGCCGGACUUGGGGUAGCUCAGCACGAAGAGGUCGUCGGGGCGAGCCUCGAAAUUUUGUUGCAUGGCCAUGACGCCUGGAAGAGAGUGCUCGGGGAACCAGAAGUCUUGGUAUUUCCGGAGGCGGAUGGGUAUCCAGUCUUGGUUUAGAGGCAGGGUUGAGAUGAGAUCAUCGAACUCUUUCGGAGGUUUUGGAGCAUCCUCUCGCUUUGCUUCCUCGGGCGCUAAGGCAAAUCCGCCAUCGGGAGUUACGGAAGAAGGCGUGGCCAUGACGGAGCUCACGGGAAAUGGAGGCUUGGUAGCCCUGGAAGGUAAUCUAUACUGUUGCAUUGCAGGUAACCGCGCGAAGCGGAUCUUCUCGAGCCCUAUGCCUGGUUAUUAUUGGUGGUGAGCCGCGUCACGAAUUAAUAAAUGAUGAUACCAAGUUUAUUUUAGUCCUAAAAUGUACUUUGGACAUUUGACUCGAUUCUUAUGGUCGUGUUAACUCGAUGGACUAUAUUAGGUCACUCAACUAAUUUAGAGAAUCCAAAUAGAAGAUUUUUGAAGCAAAUGAGGUUUGUCCAAAAAUCAGACAAAGUUGGGUAGAUCAAACUGUAAUAUUUCUUUAAUAUAUUAUAAUUAUAUAUUUUUUUGAUAGAAAUCAUUAUAAUUCAUUCAACUGCAACGUUAUACAAGUAGAGCGAACAUGUGGAUCUUCAAAAGCACUAUUAUUUAUAAUAGAAGAAAAGACAAGUGCCAUAGUUAUCAUUCAACCGGGAGGAUUCAGACAUAUAUAGACAUUGUUUUACCCCGUAAGGAGACUAUGGUAUAAAACGCCACAUAAAUAUUAAUAUUAUUUUUUUACAAUAUAUUAUUAUAUUAUAUAUUGCUGUCUCACUGUAUAAUAUGUUUUCAUGUUUUAUUAUAGUUUCUUUUUUUCUUUUUUAUUAUUUUUGCACCAUUUUUUUGGCGUUGGCAAUCUGCAACAUGACGAUAAUGUUUAGAUAGCUGUUAAAUUAUAAAGAAAAGAAAAAACCGAAAAUAUUAAAAAAUACUUUGAUUCCCAACAAUGGUGCGGUUAAAGGCCCCAAUGCCUUGUCCUGUCACCUGUCCUCCUGUGAGCCUGCGAGUACAUUGCCGCCAUGCUAUAAUCCCAUCAAAUGCAUCAAUCCUCUCACGCUAUGCUGCAGGGACUUUUGGUUCUGGCGUGAGAGAAUUCCCAAAUAUCAAGAGCCAGACAAUUGAUUUAUUUGUUUCCCGGCACCUUUGGCGAGAUACCUCAUAAGCACAAUAAUUUAAGUUUCAUUUGGCAGAACUGUUGGCAACAGUGCUUUUAAAAAUAUUUUUUAAAAAAUACAACUACAAAAAUUAUUUAUUGUUAGGUACCUAUAUUUUUAAAAUGCUGUAAAUUUUUAAUAUGUAUUUGACAAAUAAACUAAAAAAGUAAUUUUAGUAUUACAAAUUUACUAUAAAAAAUAUUGUAUAGUAUUACGCAACAAAGCAUAAUAAAAUAUAAUAUAUGUUAAUAUAUAAAUAUAUGAUAUAGUAUAAUAUUACUAUAAUAUAAUAUUAUAUUAUUCUAAUAUAGUUAAUAUAAUAUUGUAUACUAUAGCAUAAUAGUAUAAAAUAAUUCAAUAUUAUAUAAUAUAACAUAUCUAUUUAUAGUAUAAUAUAAUAUUUUGAUAUAAAAUAUUAUAAUUAUUAUCAUUAUAUAUUAAUAUUUUAUUACUAUAUAUAAUAUUUUAGAAACUAAUUUUUUUAAAAAAAUAUAAAGGCACAUAACCAUUACAAGUAAGAUUUUCCAAUGCUUUUCUUGUUCAAAACGGUGGAUAAAUAAAUAUUGAAAAGAAAUAAUACCUUGAUCACGUGAUAAGGGAGAAAACAAAGGCCGAAUGGGGUUUGUUGUUUGUUGUAUCUCCUACAGAUUUUUUUUCUUCGUGCAUUAUAAUAUAAACGGACACUUCUUGUAAUUAUAUGAUUUUAUAAUGAAUAUUGUGGUCUAAAAAAUAAAUUAUUUUUUUGUACAACUUAAAAAGAAUAUUUUAUAAAUCUAAAAUAGUUUCUUAAUGCGUGCUAAAAGUACUUUUACGAAAAGUUUUAUUUUGGAGUUUUUCUAACCCAAAAUGGCUAGCCGGAAGUUAUUAUUUGAGUUCCUUGAUCCUGUAUAAGUACCCAAGAUCUACCCAGCGAAUAACCGAUGUGGGACUAAACACACACCCGCACGGAUCCUCACAUACUCCUCUCGUUCAAAUUCUGACGUCCUCGUCAGGUUAAGGGUUCAAAUCUAAUCACAAACACCAUGAUUGGCCCGUGGUCAGCCCCAAUGGAUCCGUGCUGCAGUGUCCCCUAGUCCACAUAGAUUAUGGGUUGUGUCCGCUCUGAUACCAUUUAUAACAACCCAGUACCUUACCCAAAAUGGCUAGCCGGAAGGUAUUAUUUGAGUUCUUUGAUCCUGUAUAAGUAUCCAAGAUCUAUCCAGCUACGGGUCCUCACAAGAUAUUUUCAGUUUUUUGAUAAAACUAAUAUAACAUUCUAAUUUUUUUACCAAAUAGUGCUGUUCUAUCUAAACUUAUUUUUGGAGGGUUUAUGCAAACGGGCCUUAAUGUGCGGACAGCCGGGGCCACAACUCAACCUAUUAAAUAUGUCGGGGUCUCGGACCCUCGUGCUGUUAACUUUUAAUUUUAACAUGUCACUCCCUCACUAUCUAUCCUAUUUAGAGGAUGAUAACAAGGCCACUCCAGGAGAAGAACAACCAUAGUCCCUGCAAACAAACGCCUACUUGAGAGCAUAGCAUAGCAUCCUUUUUUCAAUGGCUGCUCUACCCUCUCUUUGCAACAGCCCCCCUCCAAUGGAGUCUCAAGGCAAAAAAGGUGCGGAUCCAAGACCUCCUUCAAACUUCACCGACCUCAUCUCAACCCUCCCCUUGGAGGAAGGCUGGGCACCCCUGCGCAUCCGAAAAUACCAAGGCUUUUGGAUCCCCGAACGCGUUCUCCAAGGCAUCAUGGACAUGCAACAGAACUUCAAGGCUCGCCCCGACGACCUCUUCGUGCUAAGCUAUCCCAAGUCCGGCACCACCUGGCUCAAAGCCCUCACCUACGCCAUCAUGACACGAACCCAAUACCCUCUCGAUCACCACCCUCUCCUUCGCCAAAAUCCUCACGAGUUCGUCCCUAUCAUGGGCAUAACCUACGCCAAAGGCGAAGCCUCAGAACUAGAGGCCAUGUCAUCACCUCGGAUCCUCAACACUCACUUGCCUUACUCUCUCCUGCCACACGCCAUCAAGAGCCUAGGAUGCAAGCUCAUAUAUGUCUGCCGGGACCCCAAGGAUGUGUUGGUCUCCCGGUUCCACUACAAUAAUAGGAUGAGGCCGCAAGCUAUGGAGCCAAUUCCAUUUACCAAGGCCUUUGAGAUGUUCUGUGAGGGCAAUUGCCCCUACGGGCCGAUAUGGGAGCAUGUUCUCGAGUACUGGGAGGAGAGCCAGAGGAGGCCAGAGAAGGUGCUGUUCUUGAAGUACGAGGAGAUGUUAGGGGAUCCGCCGCGGAUUGUGAAGAGAUUGGCCGAGUUCAUGGGGUGUCCCUUCUCUCCAGAGGAAGAGAAGGAAGGGGUGGUGGAGGAGAUCAUAAAACUGUGCAGCUUUGACAAGAUGAAGAGCUUGGAGGUCAACAAGACGGGUAAACUGCGUCCCGAUUUCGUCCUAACCAAUGAUUCUUUCUUCAGGAAAGGCGGGGCAGGGGAUUGGAGGAAUCAUAUGAGUCCGGAGAUGGCGCGGAAGUUGGACCGCAUCACCGAGCAAAAGUUUGAGGGGUCCGGUCUGACCCUUGAUGCCGUGGAUGUGGAAGCGGCGGCCACCAAUGGUGAUGUCCAAGCACAAGCCUAGUCGCAGUUGUUUGUGAUCUUCUUUUUAUUUUUCCGAUGUUUAGAGUGAGAUUACGUAAGAAGCUGCUGCAAUCCUGUAACCCCCGUAUGUUGCUAGUCUUGGCCGUAGCGUCUGUCUCUGCUCUUGCUGUCAACCUUUGUUGACCCCUGGGAGCGUCAAUAAGUUGUAGCUGCGGAAGAUGUCUGUUAUCUUGUAUCAUUUUAUUUCUCUUGAUUUAGUUGCUGUAGUCACGUAAGAGAGCUAUAUAAUAUUCCGUUUUUAAUAAAAAAAAUAAUGUCUGUUACCUCUAUGAUCGACGUGUCUUCGUGAUGUUUUCGUCUCACGCUAUUAAUGCUACAUUUAUUCAUUUUAUUUAGAAUAAUUGCUAAAAUAUAAAUAUCAGUGAGUCAUAUUGUAGUGAAUGGGCUGAAAUGGGCCAAAUCACAUUCCCAACGACUCCCUAUAUAUUUGAGAGAGCGAUAAAAAUAAUCAUUAAAAUAAAUCAUAGAAAUUUCACUGCCCAUGAAGCUUCUGCUCUUGGAUACGAGGCCCAACUGUUGUUUGUCCAACAUUACCAGUCCUUUGUUUAUACCAGCAUUUCUGUUACCACCAUAAAUGGCCAAAGCAUUAAAAGUCUUGAUCGUAGAAAUCUCUUUAUCUAUUAGCCCGAUAGGAAAGAGGAAACUCUACGAUUUCCAACAUCCAGAUUAAAUGCUUGAAAAAUCAUAGAGAAUUCGUGCACGCUGCCUGAUAAAUUUCAAGCUAACUAGCUUCUUCAACUCUGCUUCUAUUGUAAAAAAAUAUAUUUUUUAAGAAUUCUUUUUAUCUUUUCUAAUUAAAAGUUUUAUUUACUCAAAACGUUUUUUAUUGGAUCCCUGCAAAUUAUUUUUUGCAGAAAAAUAUUGGAGUUGCAUUUGAUUUGGGUUUCAAUGCUUAGUUAUACAGUCAAUUCGAUUGGAGUGGGGCUGUUGCAAAGAGGUUGUUGAGCAGCCAUUAAAGGAAGGAUACCUUGAGGAAAAUUUUUCUGUGGUGAUGGGUCAGAAAAUGGUCAAAUAUGGUGAUGGUCAUCCUCUUUUGUGUGAUCAGCCUUUUAUGCAUUACAUAUUCUUUUGAUGUGGCUGGAUAUACUUACAUUAGAAUUGUAUAAAAUGUCUUUUUUAAAAUAAAUAAAUAAAUAAAAUAAAAUAAAAUAAAAUAAAAUAAAAGUAGAAGAAGAAGAAGCAGCAGAAGCAGAUAAAAGCACGAUUGAGUGCUGUGCAUGUUAUUAUAUUAUGGUAUUUUUUUGGAAAUGACCACCAGACGUCUACGUUAUCGCAAAAGAAACAAAACAAAACGUAUCGCUUCGCUACAAGUUAAAAUUAUAUUGUUUUCGACCGUUACUGCGGGGAAAAAAAGUUCACCACGAGAAAGAAUAAUUUAAUGAGAAGAGUGACCAUCCAAUUCGAUAAAAAAAGUAAUAAAAAUUAAAGAAAAUAUAUAUUAUGUCUGUGGGUCCUUGAGCUUAAUGUUUUGCCAUUCAAGCUCGAUAAUACUCGACUCGAACCGAAUCGAGAUGAUGCAUAUAAUAAGAUGCUGCAUGCUCCAAAACUAGUGGGGUAGAUGGGAGGAAGAUGCUUCAGCCCUUUCCGCUACUUUUUCCAGUGUGCCAGGGAGUGAAUCAUGCAUAGCUUGACCCGUGAACCACACCUACCCCAGGAAUAUCGCCACCAACCUCCUGGACCACAUAUUGAUUUGACAAGCCUGAUCUAAAAUUUAUAUUAAAAUAGUAAAGGAACAUAUGGAGUAUGAGGGCUUUAUAUCAUUACUUACAUAUUAACAUUUGCCCGAAGGGUACUAAUUAAGAUGUUGUUUGGGAUGCGACAAUGAUUCCAAGAUCAGCCAUGACUUAAACGCAACUAGGUCACGUACUUAUUCUAUCGUAGUUAUUGCACCGAAAAUCAACCCAUUCUAGACAUCAUACGAGAAAUACCACGAUGCUGGGGAACUCAACGAUCCACUGCUCUAGCCGGGCUUGAUGAGGAUUUGUAGCAGACGGUCACUAUAGAGAUCCUGGUUGAAUUGCCGUGCUUCAAUUUGAAAUAAUGCAAACGUAAAAAUCUUUUUGUCGGAGUGUGUCCGACAGAAGACCCUCAAAUACCUCAAAGAACCAAAAGAAGUUCUUUUGCAGUCCGUUAGGACAUCUAAGCACUUAUCCUCUGGGUUCCCCCUAGAGAUGAUUGUAUAGAUGGAGAAUGCCUACCACCGCAGAAUUAGGACACAUGGGUUGGCCAAAAAUGACUAGCCUCGGUACAGCCCGAAUAUCAGAUGCAAGUGUCUCGCACUCAGAUGACGUAUUACCUAUCAUAUCGGCAGGAUUUCGGUGAUCACCUAGUAUCCUGGCUAGGAUGCUGCCAACAUUGGGAGCUGUUGAGAUGCAAACCCGGUCGCGCAACAUCUGGCCUGCCAAGCAGCAGCUUUUGACUAGCUGCACACAAACGUCGUGGCGAAUACUAAUUGGACGGUCCUUUUGGUAAACUAUUGUCAACCUAGAUGCACAUUAGUAGUGAUAUUGGGUUGAAAUUUAGAAAUAAAAUAUCUCUUAGCUUCGUGGAAAAAAGUAGUCAGAGUUCCUUCAAUCUAUUCAGCCCCAAUUAAAUGUUAUAGAAUAUUUCAGAGUUGGUUUUUAGCCGGUGAUCUUAAAUUUUCAUGGUAUAUCAAACAUGUUAGCUCGAGAUAUUCGGAAAAUUUUAAUCAGUGUAAUAUAGCAUACUAUAUGUGGUAAUCUUAAAUUAUUAGUNNNNNNNNNNNNNNNNNNNNCCAUUUGGGAAAAAAUCUUAUUCCCCCCAACAAUUAGAGAUUAGAUAACUUCAAGAUAAGGAUCAUCAUUGAUCCAAGAUCACCAUGGUGAUUCUAUUUGGAUCACCAAAUGCCAUUUAAAAUGAUUAUCUUUAUUAAUUAACGAUAAUAUAUUUUAUUUUUAUAUUAACUAAUUAUAGCUAUAUAUAUUCUUGGGAAAAAAACUACAGUCAAAUAUACUAUUUCAUUUGUCACUAAUCUUCAAAAUUUUUAUGCAAAAUUCUUAAAAAAUAUCUCCAUCUCAUUUAUCGGACUAGUUGAGUUUGAUGAAUUCAUUGGACAACUAGACCUUGAUGAAGACAACGUGUCAUUAGGUGCCUCAUCACACCAUCCGGCAGACUUCCACCUCUUUUAGCAUGAGUGUGGGAGAGAGCAAUUGCCAUGCAUCUUUUGAUUCAAUUAGUGAAAUUGUUAAGGCUGGUUUGGUGGACAUCAAUUAUUUUUAACCCACUUAUUCUGCUUAUAGAAGCCUUUAUAUUUUUUUCAUUUUAAAGCUAGUGUCCGUUGGGAUUGGGAGAUAACAACAAACUAGACAAUUAAAGUACAACAGAAUCAACAACUCUCCCACCUUAUAUAAACCUGUUAGAAAACAAACAACUAGAACCAAUCCACCUAAUAUAUAUAUCAAGGUAUUCACAAAUACUUAGCUGAUAAAAAAAAGAACACAAAAGGAACAUCAAAUUUUUAUGUGGAAAACCUCCCUAAUGUGGAGAGUAAAAACCACGGGACCGUAGUCCACCCAAAAUCUUCCACUAUCAACAAAUAAUGGGUAUACAAUCUGUUCUCUCUAGCCAAAACUAGAGGUAUAUAUCACCACAUAAUCUCAAAAAUAAUAUUCUUGGCAAACAUCAAUAAUAAAAGAGAAAGAUUGAGAAGAUCUCACAUAAACAGCAGCCACGUUUCUGCAAAAGUUGACCGUGCUAGAAGACUGCAAAUGAAGAUCACACUGUACAGAUCGAAGAACCACGUGUUGCGAGCCUGCUGUCCAAAUUUUAUCUCGAUCGAACCACAGAUCACCUCCGAUCGUCAUUUGAUCAAGACUGCACGUGGAAUAUCAAUUAUGUAUCUUCUCCGCUGCCUCCCUCUAUUUUUAACUCGUGGAAGAUGGCUCACAUACCCAGCCUUCUCAACAUAAAAGGUUGCCCUAAUGGACGUCACAUUUUGGGCCAAAAAUAGUCCAACGAAAUAGGCUAAAACUAAUUAAUUUAGCCCACAUUUGUUGGGCUAAGUCUCCUCCAACAUAGGAGGGAUAACCCAACAAAUCUCUCCCUCCCGACUAUGUGGAGGGAUUCACCAUCCCGGCGAUCAAUCGACAUGCCUCAAGCUUUUCUCUUGGCAAAGAUUUCGUCAACAUAUCAGAACCAUUAUCAUCUGUAUGAAUUUUCUUAAGUUUCAAUAAUUUAGAACUCAGAACAUCUCGAAUCCAAUGGUAUCUCACAUCAAUAUGCUUCGAUUUUGAAUGAAAGGUAGAGUUUUUACCAAGAUGGAUAGCACUCUGAUUAUCACAAUAUAACACAUAGUGCUCUUGCUUGAAACCAAGCUCUUCAAUAUAUUUUCUUAACCAUAGCAACUCUUUACAUGAUUCUGUUGCUGCAAUAAACUCUGCUUCGGUGGUAGAAAGUGCAACACACUUCUGUAACUUUGCUUGCCAUGCCAUGGCUCCUCCUGCAAAAGUAAUUAGAUAACCUGAAGUAGAUCUGCGAGUAUCAACAUCUCCAGCCAUAUCUGCAUCCGUGCAAUCAACUAGCAGAGGUUUCUCACAUCUAAAGCUAAGUUUCAAACCGGAUGUACCUCGAAGAUAUCUCAUAAUCCACUUCACUGCAUUCCAAUGCUCUCUUACUAGAUUUGAAAGAAAACGACUAACUGUGCCAACUGCAUGAGCCAUGUCUGGUCUUGUACACACCAUUGCAUACAUCAAACUUCCUACCGCUGAAGAAUAUGGAACUUUCUUCAUAUCUUUCUUUUCUUCAUCUGUAAAAGGACACUGUUUAGUGCUCAAUUUAGAGUGAGUAGCACGAGGAGUACUAACCAUUUUAGCUUUGUCCAUAUUAAACUUCUGAAACACUUUCCCAAUGUACUUUUCUUAUGACAUGUACAACUUCUUAGCAUCUCUGUCUCGAUUAAUCCUUAUGCCAAGGAUUUGUUUUGCUGACCCUAAGUCUUUCAUAGCAAAAGACUUAUUUAAGUGCUUCUUCAACCUAUCAAUCCGAGAUGCAUUCUUGCCAACAAUCAACAUGUCAUCAACAUAAAGCAACAAAAUGAUAAAAUCAUCAUCAUUAAAUUUCUGUACAAAAACACAAUGGUCAGAAAUUGUCUUCUUGUAACCAUGCUCCCCCAUAACUGACUCAAAUUUUUUGUACCAUUGUCUCGGUGCCUGCUUCAAGCCAUAAAGACUUUUCUUUAAUCUGCAUACAUAAUCCUCUUUUUUCUUUACCUCGAAACCUUCUGGCUGCUCCAUGUAAAUUUCUUCCUCUAAGUCACCGUGAAGGAAAGCAGUCUUGACAUCCAUCUGCUCAAUCUCUAGAUCAAGACUAGCUGCUAAAUCGAGAACAACCCGAAUAGAUGAUAUCUUCACAACUCGAGCAAAUAUUUCAUUAAAAUUAACACCUUUUCUUUGGCUGAAUCCUUUGACAACCAAUCUAGCUUUAUACCGUGGACAUGAUGAGUGUUUUUCUUGCUUCACUCAGUACACCUACCUAUUCUUUAAAGCUCUUUUGCCUUUAGGCAACUUUACUAACUCAAAGGUGUGAUUCUCAUAUAGUGACUUCAUUUCAUCCUUCAUAGCCUCAAUCAAUUCUUUCUUGUGUUCAUCUUCCAUUGCUUCUUCAUAAUUUUCGGAUUCUCCCCCGUCAGUAAGUAGAACAUAUUCAUUAGCUGAAUACCGUGUGGAAGGUUGUAUGUUUCUGUUGGACCUCCUAAGUUGAGCUGGAACGUCUGGUUCUUACAACUGAUUAUCAACAUCAUUAUUUGCUUCAGCCUGUAUGGGAGCAUUUUCAUUCACAUCAAUUGCAUCUGGCUGGUCAUUCUGCAACUCAUCAGCAUUUUCUGGCACUGGUGUUGGUGCUAUAGGAACUGGAUCUAAGUCUAUCAUGUCAUCACUAUACUGUGGCUCUAUCUUAUCUGCUUUCUCAAUAUCCUGUAUGGUUUGAUCUUCCAUGAACACGACAUCAUGGCUUCUAAUAAGCUUUUUGCUGACUCGAUCAUAAAACUUGUACCCAAAAUUAUCCUGGCCAUCCUAAAAAUAUGCACUAUCUAGUUUUAGCAUCAAGUUUGGACCUUUCAUCUUUGGGAAUAUGCACAAAUGCCUUGCAUCCAAAGACAUGAAGAUGAUCAUAAGAAACAUCUUUACCUGUCCAGACUCUGUUUGGCACAUCAAACUGUAAAGGAACACAAGGUGUGAGAUUCAACACAUGUACAACUGUACUCAAAGCCUCACCCCAAAUGGAUCUUGGCAAACCUGCUUGUGAAAGCAAACAUCUGACUCUCUCCACCAAUGUCCUAUUCAUUCUUUCUGCCAAACCAUUCAACUGAGGUAUCUUUGGAGGUGUUUUCUGAUGCCGAAUAUCCUGUUCUCUACAAUAAUCAUCAAAUGGACUUAAGUAUUCUCCUCCAUUAUCUGUUCGGAUACAUUUCAGCUUUCUCCCUAUUUCUCUCCCAAUUGAGGUCUGAAACUGUUUGAAAACAUUCAAUACAUGAUCCUUUGUCUUCAAGGUAUAAACCCAUAUCUUUCUUGAAUGAUCAUCAAUGAAUGUCACAAAAUAACGAGCACCACCAAGUGUUAUUGUCUUCAUUGGACCACAAACAUCUGAAUGCACCAGAUCAAGUGCAUUUGGUUUUCUAGAAGGAGGGGAUGCUUUGAAGGAAACUUUGUUCUGCUUACCUGCUAAACAGCGAGCACAAUUUCUCAGAUGAAUACUCUUCACUCCAUGUAGUAGUCCUUUCUUGGCUAACAUCGAUAAGCCUUUCUCACUCAUGUGACAUAGUCUUUUGUGCCAUAACUCAACUGUAUCGUCAUUCUCCAUUGCAUUGAUACUGGUUUUGGAGAGCCCUGUCUGUAACAAGUAUAAAGUUGAGUACUUUUUACCUGUAGCCACAACCAAAGCUCCUUUAGUAUGCUUUCAUCCACCAUCAGAGAAAGUAUUGCAGAAUCCUUCAUCAUCAAGUCUACCCACAGAAAGUAGGUUAUAACGGAUGUUGGAAAUAUGUUUCACAUUUUAAGAACCAACUUUGUGACAUUGUUGGUUUCUAAACAAACAUCGCCUACAACGACAACUUUGGCUAUGCCACUAUCUCCCAUUUUUACAACCCCAAAAUCACCAGCUAUAUAGGUUGAAAAGAGAUCCCUCCGCGAUGUAGCAUGAAUAGAAGCAUCACUGUCAACUACCCAGCUCAUCUCAUGACAUGCAAGAUUAACAACAUCAACAUCACAAGCAAUAAGAAAGUUUUCAAUAAUGGAAACCUGAUCUUUAUCAUUAUCAUCUUUCUUCUUAUCUGUAUCUUUGUUUUGCUUGUUUUCCCUCUUCAACUUCCAACAAUACUUCUUGAUAUGCCCCUUUCCACCACAAUGAUAACACUCAACAUUAGCGAAUUUAUUGGACUUACUUCUGGUCUUGCCUCUGUACUUCGAAUCUCUGCUUUUAUUCAUCUCCCUCGUCUCGGUAACUAAGACAUCUGACUGUGAAGAGGAACCCUAUGAUUUUCGUCUCAUAUCUUCAUUCAGAUCACUUCCAUUGAGAUAACACCAUUCGGGGCUGAGUUAGAUAAUGUUGUCCUCACUGUCUCCCACAAGUUCGGCAGAGUGCCUAGAAGCCAUAAUCCCAGUACCUCAUCAUCAAAAUUGAUACCUAUUGUGGCCAACUGAUUAAUGAUCCUUUGGAAUGUAUUUAAAUGAUCUGUCAUAGGAGUUCCAUCCUGAUACCUCCAGGACAUCAUCUACUUUAUGAGGAACAAUUUAUUAUUUCCAGUUUUUCGAGCAUACAACUGUUCAAGCUUGGUCCAUAAACUGCAUGCAUGUGUCUCUCCACUAAUAUGAUUCAAAACAUUAUCAUCUACCCAUUGCCUGAUAUAUCCACACACUUGUCGAUGGAGCAAUUUUCACUCCUCUUCAGUUUUAUCAUCAAGUUUCAUAGUAGAAAAUACCGAUUGAUGAUAACCUUUCACAUAGAGAAGAUCUUCCAUCUUUUCUUUCCAUGUAUGAUAAUUAGUACCAUUCAGAUUAAUCAUUCUAGCAGUAUUUGUCUCCAUUGUUCACACAAGACAAAAUAAUUCAACAACCUCGCUCUAAUACCACUUGUUGGGAUUGGAAGGUAACAACAAACUAGACAAUUAAAGCAUAACAGAAUCAACAACUCUCCCACCUUGUAUAAACCUGUUAGAAAACAAACAACUAGAGCCAAUCCACCUAAUAUAUAUAUAUAUAUAUCAAGGUAUUCAUAAAUACUAAGCUGAUACAAAAAAAAAAGAACACAAAAAGAAUACCAAAUUUUUACGUGGAAAACCUCCCCAAUGUGGAGAGUAAAAACCACGGGACCGUAGUCUACCCAAAAUCUUCCACUAUCAACAAAUAAUGAGUAUACAAUCUAUUCUCUCUAGCCAAAACUAGAGGCAUAUAUCACCACAUAAUCUCAAGAACAAUAUUCUUGGCAAAUAUCAAUGAUAAAAGAGAAAAAUUGAGAGAAUUUCACAUAAAUAGCAGCCACGUUUCUGCAAAAGCUGACCUUGUUAGAAGACUGCAAAUGGCGAUCACACUGUAUAGAUUGAAGAACCACAUGUUGCGAGCUUGCUGUCCAAAUUUCAGCUCGAUCGGACCACGGAUCACUAUCCGAUCGUCGUUUGAUCAAGACUGCGCGCGGAAUAUCAAUUCUAUAUCUUCUCCGCUGCCUCCCUCUAUUUUUAACUUGUGGAAGACGGCUCAUAUACCCUGCCUUCUCAACAUAAAAGGUUGCCCUAAUGGGCCUCACGUUUUGGGCCAAAAAUAGUCCAACCAAAUAGGCUAAAACUAAUUAAUUUAACCUACAUUUGUUGGGCUAAGUCUCCUCCAACAUAGGAGGGAUAACCCAACAGUGCCAACAAAUUUGGAGCAAUAUGAGUUUUUUUUUAAGAACAAUAUUAUAAAUUCUAAAAUUCAUGAUUCUGAGACCAUUGUGCGGAACCUAAGCUAGGAUGGUACCAGUUCGAUUCAGUAUACCAAAAAUUAAUAUGCCCUCCAUACCAUAUAUGAGUACCAAACUGAUAUAAGAUUGUAUGCUCUAUAUCAUUCGAUUUGGUACAGUACAGUAUACAAUAAUUUUUUUACACUUCUUCUUACAUAUAAGCCGAACUUUUUUUUAAUGGGCGAGCCCGACAUGUAAAAUUUUUAAAUAAUAGGAUUAAAGAGUACGGAGAUAGGUUCGAACUCAAGACCUCUGUUCUAAUACCAUAUUUUUUUUUGAUACAUCGGUAGCUCAUGUCAAACAAGCAUGAGCACUAUCAUCAUCAUCAAGAGAUUUGAUACUAUGUUAAAAACACCAUUUAUUCAAAAAAACUUAAGUUGAUAAAAUAAAAUAGAUUUAUUUAUAUAUAUAUAUAUAUUUAUAGAUUGGUUAUUUUUUUAACUUUAAUAACUUCUAAAUUAUAUUUAUUAUAUUGUCUGUUUUUCCCUAUCCUCGUGUCCUUCAGAGUUAUUCGAAAUGUCGCAUCCUCGGUAUGAUUUAGUGGACAUGGUUAAAAGCUGAUUUCACGAGAUCAAGCGGCGCAUAUUAUAGCAGGAAAGCUCGGUUUCGGUAGGAGACAGCGGUGGGGACUACCUUAUUAGGAUGGGAAAGGACGAAGGCUUUGUAAUGGAGGGCAAGAUAAUUAUAAAGACGUGGGCCCACCUAUGAUGACUGACCUCACGUGGGAGAUCCGGCUGCAACGAAAAAGACGGUAGACCCAAGUGGAGUGCAUGAGUCCAAAUAUAUAUAUAUUUAUGGUCGAGCACAUGAUUCUAAAUGUACGUUCCUUUUUCUGUCCCCGUCCUUGCACCGUUCUUAAUAAAAUUGAUAAAAUUAAGUGGGCUAGAAUGAUUUGGACCACCUGAGAAGCUAUCAUAAAUAAAUUUCUCUAGUGGAACGAUGGAGAGGAGCAAUAACCCAUGACUGCCAAACUGCCCGGGUCCUCAUGGUCCCAUGGCAUUUAUACAUGGUUCCACUUCCACACCAUAGCAUAAUCAUAAUUUCAGAAACCAACCCCGACUUCCAAAUUGCAGUCUCCUUUAAGAUUGUCAUUAUUUGCAUUUGUUUCCUUCUGGACCAGCUGCGACCUCCACCAGAAGAGAUGAAAGGAUGUCAUCANNNNNNNNNNNNNNNNNNNNNNNNNNNNNNNNNNNCUUCUUUCUUUCUUNUUUUUUUUUCUUUUUUUCUGGAAGCUUAUGAUACGUCGGCGGGCUGUAUCCUUCGAGGGACCUACAAAAAGCCGGUGGCCGGAGCUUCCGGCGCCGGCCCUCCGAUGCUUAAGUCAGGAAGGGCUUUAGUAGAGAAGGAGAGAUGAGUUGUAUAUCAGAAUCUAAAAGUCAGAAUCCUCCUUCAAGAGAAAGAGUUUCCUCUUUUAUAGAAGGGAUAAAGGGUUACAUGUGAUGUGACCGGAUGAAUUAAAUGAGUUACCGUCAUGAUUGAGCAUGAUCAUAUGAAUUAAUGCAUUGCUGUGGAGGGCUAGAAUGGAGCUGAUGAGUUGUUGUGGAUGACCGGACGUAGUUGAGUGAGUCAACUGGUUGCCGCGGAGGGCUUGAGAUUUUGAGUAAGCCGGAGAUCAGAGGAGGCCAUGUGCAUUAAUUGUUGAGUAAGCCGGAGAUCUGUGGAGGCCAUGCGAAUUAAUUGUUGACAGUCGUUCAGGCAGAGAUCAUUGGAUUGGGUCCCGGGUGAGGAGGAGAGGGGCUUGGUUCCCGACGGAGUGAAGGAGUUUGCUUCGUCCUUUGACCGGAUCUUCUUCGGGGUUGAGGUCGAUCAGGGUUGGCUAUACUAAGACUAGGGGCCGCAAGGCCGCAGAGCUUCGAGCUCUGAGGUCGGGGAUGCUGAGGUCGGGCGCUUAGAGGUCGAACGCCUGGAGAUCGGGCGUAUCCGAGGUCGGGCGCCUAUGAUGUCAGGCGUAUCCAAGGUCGGGUGCCUGAAGAUCGGGCGCAUCCGAGGUCGGGCGCAUCUAAGGGUUGCUGCCGGAGCGCCUGUCAUCACGUGCCGGCGAUGCAUUCACGUGUUUCGGAGUAAUCUAUUUUUCCUCCAAUAGUUUUAAUUAAAAAAAACUACUAUGAUACUAAAUGGAAGCGAUCUACUGGAGGGAGAGGGGUAAGGAACUAUCCACGAUCAACGAUACUCCUUUUGUUCCUUUUACUAGAUAGUUGUGUUGAUGAUGAUCGUGCCUUACAAAUUAAAUCUAUCAUAAAUAAUGAGAUGAGCCAAGAGAUUUUAGGAUCGUUGGUAAGGAUACCGUAUUUUAAUGCUCCUCCGACUUGUUCUAAAAGUUUCUAUCUUAGCUCAUGAGUGUAUACAAACAGCUGCCCCCAAUAAAUACCCGUUUUCAAGACAAAAAAAAAAAAAAAAAAAAAAAAAGAAACCUGUGACAAUAAGGGAAUCUGGGGUUCCUACCUAAUCAUGCAAUUAAAAAAAUAAAAAAUAAAAAAUAUAAAGAAAAAGACACCCAAAAUAAAAAAUAGGUAGGAGAAUGGGAAAAAAGAAAAAAAAAUGUGAGGACCUGUGCAGACAUAUAUUUAGUCCUAUAUCAGUUACUCACUAUGUUGAUCUUAGGUAUUUAUACAGAAUUAAAAAAUUUAAAUAAUAUCUUCUGGCUAGUUUUUUUAUGUAAGAUACUCAAUUAUUAUAAAUGGUAUUAAAACAGACCUAACCAAUAACUUAUAUAAAUUAAGAGAUAGUGCAGCAAAAAUUUAAUGAAACUGAUCAUGGGUCAAUCGUGAUGCUUUAGAUUAGAUUUAAAUAAAUUUAAAUUUUUAGCUUUUUAAGUAAAUAAUAUUUUUUAAGUAAUUUUUUUAAUACGAGGUUUUAACGAACGAGAUUUUCAAAAACAAAAAAGUAAAAAAAAGACGCCCAAAAUAGAUGUCCCGCAUGGCUUCCAAAACUAGCAGCCAAAUGAGGUGUCAGGUAUUGAGAGAUAACUAGGCCACUUCGGGAGAAGGACCACCAUAAUCUCUGCAAACACCCGCUAGGGGGCAUAGCAUAGUGCCCUUUUUAUCGACGUCUGGUCAACCAUCUCUGUGCAGCAGCCCCCCUCCAUUAAUGGAGUAUCAAGGCAAAAAGGGUGCGGAUCCAAGACCUCCUUCAAACUACACCGACUUCAUCUCCGCCCUUCCCUUGGAGGAAGGCUGGGCACCCAUGCACAUCCGAAAAUACCAAGGCUUUUGGAUCCCCCAACGUGCUCUCACCGGCACCUUGGACAUGCAGCAAAACUUCAAGGCUCGCCCCGACGACCUCUGGGUGCUGAGCUACCCCAAGUCCGGCACGACCUGGCUCAAAGCCCUCACCUACGCCAUCAUGACACGAGCCCAAUACCCUUUCGAUCACCACCCUCUCCUUCGCCAAAAUCCUCACGAGUGCGUCCCUUUCGUGGACAGAACCUACUC
rnacentral:lncRNA from 1 species